AACAAGCGAUUGCCAAACUAUCUUUGGCUGCCGGGUUUCUUCGAGUACCACUUAUGAUUGCGAUCGGCAAAAUUGACGAAUUGGUUUCCCAGGCAUUGGAUCUAUUUCGAAAUGAUGUUGCACUGGUGCUCUUGUGGAUUGCAGUCGAAACAUGUCUACCAGAGUUACUAAGAUACUAGGGUACCUAUUUCUGUUGAUUUGAAUGACUAAGGGAGCUUCUUCUGUUCGUUCCAGUCAUCCAAGAGCACAUUGCGGUUGGCACGUUUGCUCACUUCGAUGAUUAUGUCGAAUGACCACUGCCACUUCGUGUUGCUUGCGUAGACCUUGAAGAAGAAACCCGCCACCUUUGUUGAAUUCACGUGGAACUGGACUCUCUCUCUCUCCAUGGCGUAACGUCCUCAUUGGGACAAAGCCUGCUUCUCAGCUUAGUGUUCUAUGAGCACUUCCACAGUUAUUAACUGAGAGCUUCCUCUGCCAAUGACCAUUUUUGCAUGCGUAUAUCGUGUGGCAGGCACGAAGAUACUCUAUGCCCAAGGAAGUCAAGGAAAUUUCCUUUACGAAAAGAUCCUGGACCGACCGGGAAUCGAACCCGUCACCCUCAGCAUGGUCAUGCUGAAUACCCGUGCGUUUACCGCCUCGGCUAUACUGCCGUUCUACGCCCGAUUGUCCCAUGUUAUAUGGGAAUCCCAUAUAACAUGGGACAAUUAUGCGUAUAACGGCAGUAUAUGGGCCCUCACUGGACUAUGCUUGCGAUUGAAGAGCUCCUCCUGGCGAUGAUUGCGAAUCACAGGCUUUGGUUGGUCGUUGUGUAGGAGAAAUCGAGAACGGUCUCCAUGUUCGAACCAAGUUGCGUAAGCGUCCUGCAAUUCAGAACACAACUAGUGGUUGUCCUGUACAUCUGGAGAAUAGUCUGUAGUGUUUCGGAGAUGUGCUUCCUCUCGUUGAUUUUGCUCAACGACCUCUUCAAUGUGUUCACAAACCAUUCCGCCUGACCACAAAGUCGCAAAUUGUUCCGACGAUUACGUUCGGAGUAUCGAAUUGUUGGCAAAAUUGGCUUCUAUAGCACCUGCAUCGCCAAACUGGGCCGAAAUCCAAAUUUUCAUGAAUUUUAGUGCCCGGGAAAUUGAAGUUUGUUUGUAUGAAUCACCCCUCGUCAUUUUGUACGGGUCCUCAUCCAAAGUUGGCCAAAAGCCAUAGCUACGCUGGCAAUCCGCUGCUUUCCUAGAUGACCGCGGUGGAGAUGAUGGCGACAGUGUUCCCAGAAACCCGAUUACAGACGUUCAUCGAACAUGACGCCUUGUACUGUUGACAACGAUUCUCGACGAUCAUAGAAAAGCUUUAUUUUUCGGUUUGUGAUGGCUGAUUGUGAUCGUGGCCAAACUUCUUGAACGAAACGGUGGAGUUUUCCGAGAUCUGGAUCGUAGCGUGUUACUUCCUGGAUCAUUUUGAAGUUCAACAGAAGCGCAUCGAUUAAGCUUACAGCGAGGGCCUUGAUGUCCUUCUCCAACACAAUAUUGGCCACAACGAAAUCCUCUUCCGGCUUGACAUGGUACUCACUGCUCAGUCUCAGUCAUCCGAGACAGAACAUCUGCGUUGCCGAACUCAUUCGUACUGGCGUAGACGAUCUUGAAGUCGUACAAUAGCAAUUGUAGCGCCCAGCGUUGUAAUCGACUGGUAGUGUAGACCGCAAUGCCCUUUUUAGGUCCGAAGAGCUGGGGCGUGAUCCGUCUACAACGUGAAUUUCCGGACGAAACCCAUUUUAUGGAAGUUUGUUACAGCGCAUAUCUAGAGAGACCUUCGCGACCUGGCUGGCUAUGUGCUUGCUCAGCUGAAAUCAACGCCGCAAAAUCAAAUCGUGGGAGCCAGUCGGACUACAGGAUUUUCUUGAAGUUCUCGAAUGUGUGCUGACAUUGGGACGUCCAUAUAAACUUUUUCACUUGCAUCGACAUAGUUACCGUAGCGUUGUCAUGCUUGGGAUAAACUACCCAUAAUAGUUGAUCGCCCCUAGGAAGGGACGCAGUCCAGAAAUGUCCAUUGGUGCUGACAUAUUAAUUAUGGAUCGCAUCAAUUUUGGCCGGAUCGGAUCGUAAACCAUGUUCAUUGAUGAAGUGUCCCGAGUAUUUGAUUUGCUGCUGGCCAAACGAGCACUUCUCCGCCUUGAUGAUGAAGCCAUCAACAUGAGUAUGUAUCCGACGAAGGGCAUUUUGAAGAUUUCGUCGAUGUUUCUUCUUCGUCCACUCCCCCAACACAUCGUCGAGGUACCCAACAUGGCGUCUACAAGCUUCUGAAAUGCCCCAAAUGCUGCCUUGACCCUCAGCGGCAGUCGGUCGUAACGAUAGAAUCCCCUAUGCGUGUUGAUCGGGGGAUUCUUCUUGCACUUCCACUUGAAGAAAAGUGUCGGAGAGAUCAAUUUAGAUAAACAUCUUGCAGUUGGCCAAUCACCGUAAAUCUUUACUGCUCCGCUAGCUUUCCUCACAACGAUUGGAGCUGCCCACUCUGGUGUUAUUAAUCCAGCCUUCUUCAAGCGGUCCAACUCCUCGUCGAUGGUCUUAUAUGUACAUUGCGUAUGCCACGGGCCACUUCGGUCGGAAACUGAAUUGGUCGAUUUGAGUUGUUGCUUCACGGUGUAGAAUCGAGCUACUGAUCCAGUCACUCCGUUGAUGGAAAUCUCGUAGGAACACUCAAGCUCCAACUUCAGUGGCUUCCCGGAUGCUGUUGAAGCUUCGAUGGUCAAUGGGCCUGAAAUGAGUCGACCGAUCCGACGCCAUGUCUUUUCGGAGAUUAUGCUGAUUUUUCCAAGGGUUUCUUCCAGGAAUUUCUUCCGAAAUAUCUCACGGAAUGCCUCCCAAGUUUUGCUACAUGAUUCCUUUUGUAAUUUUUCACGAUAUUUGUCUUGAUUUUUUUUAAUACCUCCUGGAGAUUAUUCCAGAUACCUGCCAGCAUUAUCCCAAGAUUCACACUUUUGUUUCCGGGAUUCUUAGAGAUAGAAUUUUUCUAUAGAUUCUUCUUGAAGCAGCGAUUCCUUUCAAGUGUUUCUCUUGGGACUUCUCCAUGAGAUCUCCCUGGAAUUUCUCCCAGCGUUGCUGCAGGAGUUAUUCUUGGGAUUUCUUUUUGAACUCCUCAAAGAAUUUUAAUAAAUGUUUCACCAAUUUUCAGCAGGAAUUCCUUACGGGGCAUCUUGCAAAGUUUCUCCUGUAAAUUCUUCACGAGUUUUUCCUUGGAUUUCUUCAGAAAUUUGAUAUAAAGGCUCUCGUGGCAUUUCUUAUGAAGUUUCUCCCGAAAUUUUUCUUGGAAUUUCUCCCAGGACUUCUCUCAGAAAAUUCCUUCCGGUGUUGGUCCUGGGAUGCCUCUCAUAGUUUUUCUGAAUUUACCCUGGACUUUCUCCUAAGAUUUUUUUAGACUGUCUUCUGGGAUCUCUGCAGAAGCUACUGCUGGUAUUUCUCAUGAAGCUCCUCCCGUAAUUUCAAAGCUUUUCCCAAGCUUUUUUCGUAGUUGUUUACCGGAUUUCUUGCAGUAAUCCACCUGUCAUUUUUUUUAUUGAUUUUCUCCCAUCCCGGAAUCCCUACCAGAAAUUGUCCCGAGAUUAUGGAUGCUCCGUUUGGGUUUUAUUCAGUAGUUACAAGCAUAACUUUUCAAUCCGACGUAACUCGAGAAUGUAAACAAAUCCGGGUUUACUGCUGCAUGCAUGAUUCAUAAAGCAAAUUGAAGAAUCCACAUCACUGUUUGAUGAUUUAUUGCUUAAUUUGUUUAACUAAGCAUAUUUUUCGAAACUACGUAUCUAACUAUUUUGAUGUUUACAACUUUACUGAUAGAUACACCGUUUUGAUAUAUGAGAAAACCAAACGACGUAUCUAGUCAAAAUCAAAAGUAACAGAUACACCAAACUGACACCAUACAAAAGCGACGUAUCUGGCAUGACGUAUCUCUAACCAACCCGGUGUAUGUGUAUUUUUGUCAAAAUUCAUUGUGAAAAUGAUAUGGAAUGAGUAGGUUUUGUUUCUUACCUAGUGCGUGCUAUAUCCCUGGUGAUGUUAAGCACGAAAAAACUUAUGAAAAGUCUUUUUAUAAAAAACUAUUUUAGUGAAAUGGUCGUCAACAUUGACCAUGAAUUUACUCAGAUCAGUGAAAAAGUUAGAUACGUCGGUUUGAAAAAUUAUGCUUGAGUUGCUUCCGGAGCUCUUGCAGGAUUUUUCCAACAAAGUUUUCUUGGAAUGUCUCCGAAGAUAACUUACGAGAUUUCCCGUAAAAAAAUAUCGAGAAAUAUCUGAGGAAGUUCCGUUGAAAUGUUGUGAAAAAAACUUAUUGGAGAAAUCUCGGGAUGAACUUCGAAAGAAAUUCUGAGAGAAACUGGGACAUCUUGGAAAAAAAAGUUCUAGGAGUAAUCCCAGGAGAAAAUAUUAGGGAAAUUUAAGGAGGAACUUUGAAAACCUCUAAGAGAAAUCCCCGAAGGAACUAGGGUGAAAUCCAAGAGAAAUAUCGGAGAACUCUCUGGAAGAAAUCCCACGUAAAACUUCUGCAAAAAUCCCGAGAGAAAUCACUAGACAAACUCCUGGAAGAAGCUUGAGAAAAGGUUUGCAGAAUCUCUGGAAGGAAUCCAGCGAGGAAUUAUGGGAGAAAUCCCGGAGGGUACAUACUCUUGCAGAGCCCCCGUGAAAAACUCCUGCUGAAAUCCUGGGAGGAACAACUGUGGUAAAAAUCCCAGGAACAUAUAUCAGAAAUCCCGCCAGAACGCCGAAAAAACUAUUUAGAUAUAUAAUAAAAUACGUAAAAACCUCAGAACAGAAUCUACUUAGGAAAAAUCUUACGCCAAUUUUCCUAAAAUGUUAGCUUUAGCUUUGAGGACAUUUCUGUAUAGUUUUUGAGGAGGAUAGGAAAGUUCUAAAAUUGAACUAAUUUUUCAAUUAAAUACAUUUAAAACCCUGGAAAACUCAGGGAAUUUUAUUUUGCCUCAUGGAUAGACAACCUGAAGAAACACAACAAAUAGCGCCUGAACACUUUAUUUAGAGUAGCAUGAAAUUGGGACCACCCUGCUGAACAAAUGCAAAGCCUCCCUAUUGCGUUUUGGUUCAAAUAAUGAUCAACUCACCACAACUCACCCUAGUUUACUCAAUGUAUUUACCCAUAAUGGGUAAAGCAUAAUUUUUCAAAUCGACGUAUCUAACUUUUUCACUGAUCUGAGUAAAUUCAUGGUCAAUGUUGACGACCAUUUCACUAAAAUAGUUUUUUAUAAAAAGACUUUUCAUAAGUUUUUUUGUGCUUAACAUCACCAGGGAUAUAGCACGCACUAGUGAUGUGGAUUCUUCAGUUUGCUUUAUGAAUCAUGCAUGCAGCAGUUGACCCGGAUUUGUUUACAUUCUCGAGUUACGUCGGAUUGAAAAAUUAUGCUUGCAUUGUCGUCUUACCUUUUGUGACGUCGUCAAAUUAAACGGAAGCAACCUUGAGACGCUCAUCUUCGGUCAAAUUGUAGUCUGACCUAUAUUUUCCUCUUAUUUCGCUAGCACCUUGCGCCGACUGCUCAGAAAAUAAACAUAAAACACCAAACACAACCUUAUACGACGUGACCUUCCUCCAGCGAUGAGACGGAAAAAGUCACGAUCCUUCACUCUUACAGAUUCAGGGACAGUCGUUUCAGCUCAACACUUGCCCCACUCGCUCCGGUGGGCCAUACCUUCUCGGUACUCCAAAAUUCCGUCGACGGAACAGAAAACGCAGCACUUUUCUAGGUUAUACGUCACCAUCCGAGUCAGGCGGCAGGUUUGCAAUCGCGGAAAAAAAUCACCGCUUCCCAGCCGGAAAACCUGACCUUCCGCUAGCGCCACCCGAAGCACUUGGAAAACUUUCACUUUGCGACCGAAGAA